UACGGGGGGGGCAAGCGUUGUUCGGAAUUACUGGGCGUAAAGGGCUCGUAGGUGGCCAACUAAGUCAGACGUGAAAUCCCUCGGCUUAACCGGGGAACUGCGUCUGAUACUGGAUGGCUUGAGUUUGGGAGAGGGACGCGGAAUUCCAGGUGUAGCGGUGAAAUGCGUAGAUAUUCGCAAGAACACCAGUGGCGAAGGCGGCUCACUGGCCCGGUGCUGACGCUGAGGUGCGAAAGCGUGGGGAGCAAACAGG
rnacentral:rRNA from 1 species